rnacentral:rRNA from 1 species
AUUGAACGCUGGCGGCAGGCCUAACACAUGCAAGUCGAACGAGUGGCGGACGGGUGAGUAAUGUCUGGGAAACUGACUGAUGGAGGGGGAUAACUACUGGAAACGGUAGCUAAUACCGCAUACCAUCCGAUGUGACCAGAUGGGAUUAGCUAGUAGGUGGGGGAAAGGAUCACCUAGGCGACGAUCCCUAACUGGUAUGAGAGGAUGACGAGCCGCAGUGGAACUGAGACACGGUCCAGACUCCGACGGGAGGCAGCAGUGGGGAAUAGUGCACAAUGGGCGCACGCCUGAUUGAGCCAUGUCUGGUGUAUGAAGAAGGCCUUUGUGUUGUAAAUUACUGUCAGCGGGGAGGCGUUACCCGCAGAAGAAGCACCGGCUAACUCCGUGCCAGCAGCCGCGGUAAUUC